UACGUAGGGUGCAAGCGUUGUCCGGAAUUAUUGGGCGUAAAGAGCUCGUAGGCGGUUUGUUGCGUCGGCUGUGAAAUCCCGAGGCUCAACCUCGGGUCUGCAGUCGAUACGAGCAAACUAGAGUGUUGCAGGGGAGACUGGAAUUCCUGGUGUAGCGGUGAAAUGCGCAGAUAUCAGGGAGGGAACACCGGUGGGCGAAGGCGGGUCUCUGGGCAACAACUGACG
rnacentral:rRNA from 1 species